UGGUGGUGUGUACUCCUCCUGUAAUUCAACUAAGCUAGGUAAAGAGGAUGGUUUAGGGGCGGAGAUUCUGGGAUUGGAUUUCCCACGUUGACUAGGAGUCCGCUAGGGAAUAAACCUUCAACUUGGAUGUGCCUUGUGGGAGCCCGAGAUGGCCAGGUUGAGACCAAAAAGGGGAAAAAUCGGCCCAAAAGUCACCGAGUUGAGUCAUGAGUUCAAAUUCUGGAAGUGGGAGUUCAAUUUUAGCUUGUUCAAACAAGAACAAAACUGUUACCUAC
rnacentral:SRP_RNA from 1 species